rnacentral:rRNA from 1 species
GACGAACGCUGGCGGCGUGCUUAACACAUGCAAGUCGAACGGAAAGGCCCUGCUUUUGUGGGGUGCUCGAGUGGCGAACGUGUGAGUAACACGUGAGUAACCUGCCCUUGACUUUGGGAUAACUUCAGGAAACUGGGGCUAAUACCGGAUAGGAGCUCCUGCUGCAUGGUGGGGGUUGGAAAGUUUCGGCGGUUGGGGAUGGACUCGCGGCGUAUCAGCUUGUUGGUGGGGUAGUGGCUUACCAAGGCUUUGACGGGUAGCCGGCCUGAGAGGGUGACCGGCCAAAUUGGGACUGAGAUACGGCCCAGACUGCUACGGGAGGCAGCAGUGGGGAAGAGUGCACAAGGGGCGGAAGCCUGAUGCAGCAACGCCGCGUGCGGGAUGACGGCCUUCGGGUUGUAAACCGCUUAGGCCUGUGACGAAGCGUGAGUGACGGUAAUGGGUAAAGAAGCACCGGCUAACUACGUG